rnacentral:rRNA from 1 species
GAUGAACGCUGGCGGCGUGCUUAACACAUGCAAGUCGAACGGAAAGGCCCAAGCUUGCUUGGGUACUCGAGUGGCGAACGGGUGAGUAACACGUGGGUGAACUUCCCUGCACUUCGGGAUAAGCCGCGGAAACUGGGUCUAUUACCGGAUAGGACCACUUCUUGGAUGUUGUGGUGGAAAGUUUUGUCGGUGUGGGAUGAGCUCGCGGCGUAUCAGCUUGUUGGUGGGGUAAUGGCCUACCAAGGCGUCGACGGGUAGCCGACCUGAGAGGGUGUACGGCGGCACUGGGUCUGAGGGGAGGCACAGAUGCCGACUGGUGGCAGCUGUGGGGAAGCUUGCACAAUCAGCGCCAGCCUGGUGCAGAGAGGCCUCGUGGGGGAUGACGGCCUUGUGGGUGUAAACUCCUUUCGCUAGGGACGAAGCGUUUUGUGACGGUACCUGGAGAAGAAGCACCGGCUAACUACGUG